GCGGGAGAACUUGCAACCGCUGUGGCGCGGCGGGGUGUCGUGAGGCGCCGGCUGCGGGCGGGCGGGGCGCUGUGAGGAGAGCGGGAAGGUGGAGUGUGAAGAGAGACAGGGAGCUUGGAUUUUUUGCUUGACCUCUUGGACUGACUGGUCAAAUCCAAGUGCCCAGAUCUCCACGACCAGCAUGUGUAAAAGUGUUCAGGGUGUGAGGUGAAAAUCGCACUCUUUGGCAUCAGAGUCACCUUGUAAGGGUAAGGCUGAUAGAAACAGGACACAGCUUUCCUGCCGGCUGAUCCAAGAAUGUGGAAUGAAUUUCUCUGAAGCUGUGAACAAUGGUAAAUCUCCUGUUAAAUGCAAGGCGUGUUCUUUGGCACUGCUCCACUUCAGCAUAAAUAUGUAACUUCUGCUGUGCUUUAGCACAAACACUCUUGACAUAGAGAUACUCAUGUUCCUCCCUAGGGAUUGACAACAUAGCAGCAGAGAUGGUGCUUGUAUUUGUUGAGUGAACUUUACAAUAUUUAGGGAAUAACCUUUUUAUUAUUUAUUUCCAAGCAAUUUUUUUAAUGUGAUUUAAGUAUAAAGAGCUCUUUAAUGUAGGGCUGAAUUGAAUCUAGUGUCUUACAAUGCUGCACUUGUUUACCAAAUUAAACUAAUUUUAACAGAAAAAUCACCCCAGCUUCCUCAGUUGUGAAAAAUAAUCAGUCCAAGGCAGUUUCUGUGUUUGAUUUCCAGAAAGAAGAAAUGCUUCCUUAUUUCUAAUUCACCCUCCCAUUUCACAUACCACAUUGCUCACUAGUUUGUUACCAAGUGGAGUUCGUAGUUUUGACUUUAAAGUGCCCCUUAUUGUCACCUGAUGAUGUGUUUAUGCGUGGUGUUACCAGUUUAAUCUAGCUAAUGUGUGAGUCUGUCUUGAAGCCCAGUUUGCUCAUUUUGAUAAUGGUCUUUUCCAGACUGUGUAUGACCUCAGUAGUCCAUUUUCUUUAGUUUCACUGACUAAACAAAGCACGGCUGCCUAGAGAUUAUACCCAGGCAAGCAAAACAAAAACAUCAGAUGGUGCCAGAACAUUACUAGUACUACCAUUUAAAGCUUUAGCUGGAUUGGAGCUUUAUCUCAGAUCGCAACUUUCACUGUUUUGUGCCACAAAAGUUGAAAGUAUGCAAAAAAAAAAAAAAAAAAAAAACAGAAACCCUUGGCUUAACUGUGAGAGGGCUGUCUGUAGGCAGAAUGUUCUCAAUGAGAAAUUCAACAGAAGGGCUUUCUAUUUACCUUGGUUUGCCAGAGGCUGAAAUUGCUAAACUUCACCAUACACUGGAAAUUUGUUCGUUGUUCUCUUUGACUUUUUUUGUUCUAGCAAAGGCAAGUCUUUGGAAUGUUUCGUCUUAAAAAAAGAAAAAAAUAAAGCGUGUGUUUUAUCUAGCUCGGAUUAACUAAUAAAAGCCCUGCAGAGAAUGGAGAAGUUUUAGAAUGUAUCUAAAUAUAUUUAAAAAUAUAGCAUGGGUAUUCUUUUUAGGUAAUUUGGCAAAGAUAGGAAAAUCAUUGUUUUUAAUUUAAAAAGAAAAUUGUAAUAAAUACAUAUGAAAUUGUGGUUUGUAAUGAGCAUUCAGGAUACAUUCUCAUACAGUUUAAGUACUUUCUUGACGUACAAGGAUGAUGUGUCUUCUGCAAAUCUUAAAUUAUUCCAGUGUACGUUGAACAUGGAUCAUAAGGGUGUUGUUGGAGGGAUUAGACUUUUUUUAGCUCCUUUAAGUCAAUUCUAAGUGUCCAUUCAAAUGGUUUUGAGAGAUCGGUGUCAUAAUUUUAAUCAACAAACAGAAAUCAGCCCCAGCUGUGAUAUAACUUGCAUUAUAUACUCUAUAUAUUACAUCAUCACCACCACCAAUUUUGAAUAAACUACUUGAAAUAGAAGUUAGUAAGUUACUUCCUUAACAGAAGAAUUUAGUUUGCCCUAGAGUGUUCCGUCUGUAUCCAAUUUGGAAGAGUUACAAAGAGCUGUUAUUUUUUGUAAUUAUAGACAGUUUUAUUCUGAUGUUCUCCAUAUUUUGCAAAACUUGAAUUAGACCAGUAUGUCACUGUCUUUAACACCGAGUUCUUAGUGUCAUCCCAGAGGAUUACGUACCACAGAGAUCGGCAGAGCUGGACGGAAGGUAGCAGCUGUUACCUUGUGCUGCCUUUGACACACGGCUCCAUCAGUUCAGAAUCUUGCCCAGCGUCAUUCCCUUGGAGGCCUCGACUGAGUCAUUUUGCUGUGGUGUCCCAGCUACAACAUUUAGCCCACAAAGAUAAGGCUAGGUCUCUGGGGUACUCAGACUGCCCCAGCAGGAAUGCAGGGCAAAACCUCAGAUAUGCCUGAUCCUUACUAUGUUUUCCAGGACUUUUCAACUUCCCCUCUACUUUUUUUCAUUUCUUCUUUCUUCUUUUCCUUUGCCCAAGCUUGUCAAAUAAAUUGCAUCUGGUUUUUUGGCCGUUACAGUUUAUGGUUUCUAGGAAAGAGAAAGAUGCUGCCCAUUUACAAUAAAUACCAGAGAACCAGAUUAAAGGGAUUGAGGAGGAGGAAUACACUGAAGGAAAGGCUGAUGCUUUGAGGGGGAAAAUACUCUUCUAUUGUAAAUUUGCCCCCAAAUUAUAGCUGAAGUAACUUUAAAGAACCUCAGUGAUGGAGCUGUGUGGCUUGUGGUUUUCCUUAAGGGUGUCUGGAGUGUGACUAGCGUCAGUGAAAGCAGCAAUGGCUUCUCCCGACAGCUGCAAUUGCUUGGGGUUCUGUGGAACAUAAGGAAGCCAUUUGAGGACAGAACAAAUGACGUUUUGUUUCCUUUACCACUUCAGGAACGGGCUGAUAGUUUCAUUUUAUGUUUCUUACCCUAUGGGGUCAUUGCCUCAACUGCUGAUAAACGUAGUCAUUGUUAUUAAGACUGAUGGUGUAAUUUUAGCCUGGUGGUGGAUGAUUCUUUUUCUACCUGUUGGUAGCAAAUAAUGUCAUUUAUUUUUACCUUCAGGAAAAAAAAAAAUCUCCAUUUGAUUUAUGUGUUACAAAUGUGCUAAUAAAUUAUGAUUAAGUGGAA